UACGUAGGGUGCGAGCGUUGUCCGGAUUUAUUGGGCGUAAAGAGCUCGUAGGCGGUCUGUCGCGUCGGCUGUGAAAACUCGGGGCUCAACUCCGAGCUUGCAGUCGAUACGGGCAGGCUAGAGUUCGGCAGGGGAGACUGGAAUUCCUGGUGUAGCGGUGAAAUGCGCAGAUAUCAGGAGGAACACCGGUGGCGAAGGCGGGUCUCUGGGCCGAUACUGACGCUGAGGAGCGAAAGCGUGGGGAGCGAACAGG
rnacentral:rRNA from 1 species